rnacentral:misc_RNA from 1 species
GAUGAAGAACGCAGCGAAAUGCGAUAAGUAAUGUGAAUUGCAGAAUUCAGUGAAUCAUCGAAUCUUUGAACGCACCUUGCGCCCUUUUGCUAUUCUGAAGGGCAUGCCUGUUUGAGUAUCGUGAACACCUCAACUCUCAUGGUCUGCCAUGAUGAGCUUGGACUUUGGGGGUCUUGCUGGCCUACUGUCAGCUCCUCUCAAAUGAAUCAGCUUACCAGUGUUUGGUGGCACCACAGGUGUGAUAACUAUCUACGCUUGUGGUUUUCUGCCAGGUAACCUCCAGUGAUGGAGGUUCGCUGGAGCUCACAAAUGUCUCUCCUCAGCGAGGACAGCUUUUUGAACGUUUGAUCUCAAAUCAGGUAGGACUACCCGCUGAACUUAAGCAUAUCAAUAAGCGGAGGA